CCUACGGGUGGCAGCAGUAGGGAAUCUUCCACAAUGGGCGCAAGCCUGAUGGAGCAACACCGCGUGAGUGAAGAAGGGUUUCGGCUCGUAAAGCUCUGUUGUUGGAGAAGAACGUGCGUGAGAGUAACUGUUCACGCAGUGACGGUAUCCAACCAGAAAGUCACGGCUAACUACGUGCCAGCAGCCGCGGUAAUACGUAGGUGGCAAGCGUUAUCCGGAUUUAUUGGGCGUAAAGCGAGCGCAGGCGGUUGGUUAGGUCUGAUGUGAAAGCCUUCGGCUUAACCGAAGGAGUGCAUCGGAAACCGGGCGACUUGAGUGGGGAAGAGGCCGGUGGAACGCGAGGUGUAGCGGUGGAAUGCAUAGAUAUAUGGAAGAACACCGGUGGCGAAGGCGGCUGUCUGGUCUGCAACUGACGCUGAGGCUCGAAAGCAUGGGUAGCGAACAGGAUUAGAUACCCGUGUAGUC
rnacentral:rRNA from 1 species